rnacentral:tRNA from 1 species
GCCGCUCUAGCUCAAUGGAAGAGCAACGGUUUCGUAAACCGUCGACGGGAGUUCGAUUCUCCCGAGCGGCU